UUUUCAGUGAACAUUGAGUUUUCUGCUUGUGAUGCCUCUACCUUUAAGUGCCCACAGAGCUCUACUGUACUCUUUCCAACACCAAAUAUUUCCAAGCCUUUAUGCAUACUAAAUCACAUGCUUACCAGAGGCAAAUAAUCUCUGUCAUAUCCCAUUUGUGCUAUUGUAUGGAAAUAUCUACUCAAAGGGCAUGCAUCUUUUUAACUCCUGACACCUUAAUUGUUACUUCAUGAUUAAAAGCCAUACUAUUCAUUGUGUCUUUCUAGGCACACUUCAAGAAUAACUUCUGUCUCCUUUUCCAAUCCUCAUGCAGGAGGCCAUAAUACCCAGACAGGUUGACAAGGUCACAGUCCAAUGAAGGAAGAUGAGGAAUCUGAGAUGGAAAGAGAUGAAUUGGCUUCUACAAAGUCAUACUGCUGGGAACUCAAGAAACAUCUAAGAAGAUAGCCAAAUUUUAGCAGUAUUCUAACACUGACACACAUCAGUAAUUAACUAUGGUUGAAAAAUGUGCAGAAUGGCAUCAGUCCCUUGUCAGCUUGCCCAUAAAUCCAUGUAUUUAACUGAUCUCAUUUUGGCUCAUGCCCACAUUUAAAAAUCCUGUCCAAAAUCUAUUAAAUAAAAACCCACUAUCAAAAGUUUAAUCUACAUCUUAUCUACUGUGCACUAUAAAGCACUGAGCUUAUUAAAAUGUCCUCAGUGAGAGAUGUUCCACAUACCUAUUUGCUUUUCAUAUUGGCCAAGUGAAAUUAAAUGAAAAAUUUCACAUUUCAGUUUAUUGGGGGGUGGGGGUAGGAAAUCUAGUUCAUGAAUGUUUUUAGUGUUAAUGUAAAACUGUCCUUUGCCCACAGCUUGACCUCAUUCCUCGGCCCCCAGAAAUAUGAGACUCUUUCACAGACCAGUGGGCUAUGCAUUUAUCAUUCUGUUACAAAGAGCUCAGUAUUUUAAAAAUAUAAAUACAAUGGCAAAGCAUUGAAUUGACACUUAUGAUAAAAUGCAUUCGAUUAAGACUUAAUAAAGUACUGUGUAUAUUACUAGUGAAUAAUGCACAGUCAGAUAAAGUUGGACAUAAAGCAAAUAGAGUGUCAAAGCUAAUUGUACUAUGCAUUCUUCAGGCACAUUACUUACUUUAUUACUAGAUUAAAAUGCAUAUUGUGUUUCAGUAGCUUUUUCAUUCUUUUGGUAUAUAACAAUAAACUCUUUGGCUAAAGUCACCAAAUUCAGAACAUAACGACCAUAUGAGAUAUUGGAAAAGAGGCUGCCCAGGGAGGUGGAAUUUUGAGAUUUCAGUUUAAGGCAUGGUUUAGAUUAAAUCAACACAACUUCAGAGGAUUCAGUAAUGAGAAAGUCCAUUGUGUUUCUCUUUGACUUGUAAGCUAUCAAAAUGAGGGAAAAUUCUAAACCGUCACCAACAACUACCCAUUUCCUUUAACUGUUCAUGAUCACCAAAGAAAUAAUAG